rnacentral:rRNA from 1 species
UACAGAGACUGCAAGCGUUAUUCGGAAUCACUGGGCGUAAAGCGCGCGUAGGCGGUCAGGUAAGUCCGGUGUGAAAGUCAAAGGCUCAACCUUUGAAUGCCGCUGGAUACUGCUUGACUUGAGUCCGGAAGGGGCGAGUGGAAUUCCUGGUGUAGCGGUGAAAUGCGCAGAUAUCAGGAGGAACACCAAUGGCGAAGGCAGCUCGCUGGAACGGUACUGACGCUGAGGCGCGAAAGCGUGGGGAGCGAACAGG